rnacentral:rRNA from 1 species
CUACGGGCGGCUGCAGUGGGGAAUAUUGGGCAAUGGGCGCAAGCCUGACCCAGCAACGCCGCGUGAGGGAAGAAGGUUUUCGGAUUGUAAACCUCUGUCCUUGGGGACGAAGAAGUGACGGUACCCAAGGAGGAAGCUCCGGCUAACUACGUGCCAGCAGCCGCGGUAAUACGUAGGGAGCAAGCGUUGUCCGGAAUUACUGGGCGUAAAGGGUGCGUAGGCGGCAUAUUAAGUCAGGUGUGAAAUACUCGGGCUCAACCCGGGGGCUGCAUUUGAAACUGAUAUGCUGGAGGGUGAGAGAGGAAAGUGGAAUUCCUAGUGUAGCGGUGGAAUGCGUAGAUAUUAGGAGGAACACCAGUGGCGAAGGCGACUUUCUGGCUCAUAACUGACGCUGAGGCACGAAAGCGUGGGGAGCAAACAGGAUUAGAUACCCGCGUAGUC